rnacentral:rRNA from 1 species
UACGAAGGGGGCUAGCGUUGUUCGGAAUUACUGGGCGUAAAGCGCGCGUAGGCGGUUUUGCAAGCCAGAGGUGAAAUGCCUGAGCUUAACUUAGGAAUUGCCUUUGGGACUGCGAGGCUUUGAGGACGAGAGAGGUGAGUGGAAUUCCCAGUGUAGAGGUGAAAUUCGUAGAUAUUGGGAAGAACACCGGUGGCGAAGGCGGCUCACUGGCUCGUUUCUGACGCUGUAGUGCGAAAGCGUGGGGAUCAAACAGG